rnacentral:rRNA from 1 species
AUACGUAUGGUCCUAGCGUUGUCCGGAAUAACUGGGCGUAAAGGGUGUGUAGGCGGAUAUCCGUGUCAGGUGUGAAAUCCCCCGGCUUAACUGGGGCAUUGCGCUUGAAACUGGAUAUCUGGAGCAUGUCAGGGGUAAGCGGAAUUCCCGGAGUAGCGGUGAAAUGCGUAGAUAUCGGGAAGAACACCGGUGGCGAAGGCGGCUUACUGGGGCAUGGCUGACGCUGAGGCACGAAAGCGUGGGGAGCGAACGGGAUUAGAUACCCCGGUAGUCCACGCUGUAAACGAUGGAUACUAGAUGUCAGUUACAUUAAAGUAGUUGGUAUCGAAGUUAACACGAUAAGUAUCCCGCCUGGGGAGUACGGUCGCAAGAUUAAA